rnacentral:tRNA from 1 species
GUGGCUGUGGCUUAGUGGUAGAGCACUUGCCUCACAUGUAUGAGGCACUGGGUUCCAUGCUCAGCACCACA